rnacentral:tRNA from 1 species
AAUUUAAAUAGUUUAAAUAAAAUAUUAACUUGUGGAGUUAAAGAUAUAUAUAUUAUUAUUUUAAAU